CGGGGAGACGCGAGCGUGAAAACCUCUGAGCGCAACACACAGGGCUUUAUGCACAGGCAACCCCACUUAGGUUUUUAUACUCGGUGUGCCGUGCGUCCCGUGACAAGUUUAACAUCACACUCAGCGGUGCAGUGUCUGUGGCACGUCGUGGGGUCGUGCACUCCUUGAUUUUUGUAAAUUCUACAGCUGGCGUGUACGAUCGUGUUGGGUUUUACCACUAUUUUACUGAUAUUCCAGCGCAGAACAUACUGACACACAACAGUUUGUCGAGGUUUUUUUUUUCUCUCUUUUCUUUCCACAAACUAACAUUUUCGCUUUCGGUUUUGACUUCUCCUCAUCAGCGCGUUUGGUGCGAUAUUGUUUAAGUGGCGACACCUAUCGAGAAUACCGCAGCGCCUUCUUCAGCCUGAACGGCGGGUAUAAGUAAAUAUGACUGUAUCUGUGUGAUGAUGUUAAACGAAGGGACUAUUGCAGAAGGUAUACUGCCAGCUGCGUAAUGCCGAUCCUCCCAGGCGAAGAUGUGCCGCCUCCCAUAGAAGUGUGGCCCUCUCUGCUUGCCAUACUCGCUCCGAGUGGAGGCGCAGCAGGACAGCGCCCACAUUUUCCUCUGUUUCCUGAAGAGAACAGUUCAGCUGAAAAGUUGACACGACCAAGGAAGGAAGCCGAGUUGUGGUGAUUUUUGCCCUUCAUCUACAGUUCCUUUGAAGAGGAAAGACUUUUAAACGGCCCUGCUAGCAUGAUAAAUUUACUGAGCACCAUGAAGUCAGGAGUAGGAUUACUAAUUUUCCUUCUCAGUCAUGAUGCCUCAACGGCUCCAAUAAACAUUGCUUCAGCAUCGACAGAGAAUGCAAGUCCUCAAACAGGCAUUUACCUUGACAUUGGCAUCAUCACUGCUGUUGUCAUUGUGGCUGUGAUUGUCUUUGCCUUGAUAGGAAUGUCUGACCAUGAAAAGGAUGACGAACGUGUCAAGUUAAAUAAAGGUACGACUUCAAGCCAGGAAACACGCUGUACAAAAUGUUGCACCAAAUAUUCUGAAUGUUGUUGCAGUCUUUUAUCCUGUUGUUGUUCAGGUUGUGCUGAAUCGCUUACCAAAGCUUGUGACAUAUGCUGCAUGUCUCUAGGUUAUGGAUGUAUGGUACCUUUAUAAAGUAUCCUUUGAAUAUUCUAUACAUCAUUUUUACUGUUAUACAGCUAUCCAUGCUCAUGAAAGUAUCUGAAUAUGUUUUGAUAUAACCUUUCUACUCAGUAAACAGACAGCAUUGUUUUACAGUGCAAGCUGCUUCCCUUCAUCCACAUGGACUCAGAAAUUACGUGCUAUUGUUUACACUCUGCAAGCCUUUGGAGCAUAGUUACCGAUGGAAAAAUAUGUUAUGCAAUGUACUAAUUAGUGUGAGCAGUGUGACAGUCAAGAGCACACUUAUAACUGUUCUUUUGAGAAGCCUGUAGAAAGAAAAGUGUUAUUGUGUGACAGUUUUACAGCAAAGGAGGGUGAGAAUGAUACAAUGUAAUAAAAAGCUCAUUGGGAACUUCCCCUUUUGAGCACUUGCAUUUGACGUACUAGAGUCUGGGACUCCUUAAAAAGAAAGACGUUCUCCAAAAAAGCAGUUUGAGGAUGUAGAGGUGACUGGGAGAGUGAUGAGCUCCAUAAACCAGAGGAGCGAAUUGUGGGAGUCCGGGACUCCGACUUUUCUAGUCCGGGAUUAGAGGGCAGCUUGUACAUGUUAAAAGCAAAAGUAAUAAUAAUAAAUUGUUGUUGUUGGGCAAAUAGGUUUUCCGACAGAAGCUAGAUGCAAGGAAAUGCAAAAACCUAGUAAACCAAAUACGAACUAAGGAAUUAUGCAAAUCAAAGGAUAAAAGGAAUUUAUGGUAGAGAAAGGGACAGUGAAGACUACUUUAACUGCAGUUGUCACGCACAUUGGGCACAAGCUUCCUUAGGAAAGAACAAAAGAGGGGGAAGUAAAGCUGGCAAAGAAGGGAGGAAGACUUUCUUAUAUGACCAGGGACUGUUAGCGGAUGCAGGAGGGGAGAAAAAAGAUGAUCUGCUGAGCCAAUUUGAAAGACAUUUUACACAUGGAGGAUAAUAUACCACAUGUGACCCUAAAAAUUGGGGAAAAGACAUAAUAUUACUCUGUGAUUGUGGACUCACACGGGCAGUAAUCUAAAUGCUAUCUAAUGUUGUCUAAAGAAAUGGGUAAAAAAACCUGUGAAAAUGGAAAAUAGGGAGUCUGGAGAAACAAACUGUGAGUGCUGGAGUCUGUUGCUCAUCCUUAGGCCCUGUAAAUUUGCAGGGGAGAAAUUUAAUGACUAAACUAGGAAUAGAACCAGUAAAAAUAAUCCCCUAAACAUUUUAAAGCCCUCACUGAAGACAGCACCCACUAAAAAAAAAGAAAAGAAAAGAAAGGGUGAGCCGAGAUGUAUCUAAAUUCCACACAUGGAACCAAAUAAUCAUGAGCUGGAGAACAAAGAGUAUGAUGUAACAGCAGUAGCUGAAGUGAAAAGCAUUUAGGAUGAGCAUAUCGAAAAUCCUAACCAGAAGAGAUGUGUUACUGAAUGUUUUUGUUGAUAAACACAGCCUUAAUUAUGUGUAUGUAAAUGUGUAUAUUCUUUAAAUUGUUUUGUGUGUUGUGUCAUGUUAUAAUUUGGGGCAUAACUGGAUAAACAGGAGGGAAAUGAUGGAAAAAAUAUGUUACGCAAUGUACUAAUUAGUGUGAGUUGUAUGAUAGUCAAGGGCACACUCAGUACACUUAAUGCAAGCAUGCCUGGUUACCAAAAAAAGUAUUACAGUAUCUGCUUAUUAAACGACAGACGCUUAUAACUGUUCUUGUGAGAAGCCUGUAAAAGGAAAAGUGUUGUUGUGUGACAGUUUUACGACAAAGGAGGUUGGGACUGAUAAAAUGUAAUAAAGCUCACUGGGGAUUUCCACUUUUGACCACUUGCAUGAAACCUUGUAUUUGAUGCUUUUGCUCCUUUGCAAGAAUAAAAGCUCCAGUUUUUGACUGUUGUUCAUAUUUGCUAAUUUUUAUUCUGACACUUGCCCUGAAUCAUUCUUGAUUUUCUACAAGGCUGAAACUCUGAAGGUAGCGAUGACACACUCAAAACAAGUACUGAGGUAAACCAAAAAUUUAAAAUGAACAUUUACAACAGAACUUGAGUUUACUUCAUCUGAAAUAAUGUUAACCUAAAUAAAAUAAAAUAAAAUAGUUUUAAGUCCUGGUGAAAAAAAUGAACUGAAAUUUAUUUGAACAGGACUUUGAAUUUUAACUGAUUAAAUAUGCUAAAAUACUAAGAGUGUGGGUGUGCCAGGUAACUUUAAACCUGCAGUUGUCAUCAGGGUUUCAUGUCGUUUCUCCUUUGUGAAAACAUGUUGUAUGCGUCAGUUCUGCUCGUGGGUCAACUAUUUAUUCCGACAAACUUGUCCCUCAAAUUGCUGUUUUUGUUUUGUG
ensembl:lncRNA